GCGCGCGUGGCUUGGUGGUUAGCACGUUCGCCUCACACCUCCAGGGUCUGGGGUUCGAUUCCCGCCGGGGCCA